CUUUUUUCAUACACUGCCUACCAGAGAGAACAAGACUGGCAAAAGGACUCUGUCCUCAUAAAGCUCAGAGACGAUGAACAGAUAAACAAGGAAAUUACUUUUUACUUCAGUGCAAUUUACUGGAGAGACGAACUGUGCAAGUAGAGAUGCCUGAUGAGCGUCACACAACGUUUUCGGUGGAUAGUCACGACACUUGAGCCCACCACGAAAGCAACGGGAGGCAGCUGCAAUAUUCCAGCAGGACAGUGUGUACUACAGGUCCAAAAGCCCUGUGGAUUGUUAGUGAAGCUCAGGCAGAAUAAAGCAAAUAGAAGAACAAGGCAACUGAAGUCUAACGAUAUGGUGGA
rnacentral:lncRNA from 10 species